rnacentral:lncRNA from 1 species
CAACACAGGUUGUAAGAAGCUGAGUUAGUCAAGUUCCCAACAACUGCAGGGCCAAGGUGGAGAGGAGGCCCCUUCGGGGAUUUCCAACUCACCCAAGGGCACGUUCGUGUACAGCGGCAGGUUCUUACCCAAGAACAAUACACUACACAGAACACCAGGAGAAAAACAGCAGUGAGACCUGGUGUUGCACACAGCUGGCCGCUGGGAAGCCGUGGGGUAGGAACACAUCCCCAGUCACCCUGGCAUUAGAAACAGGAGCAUCUGUUCCCUGGCAUAGCUGGAAAAUCAAUCCUCCACUGGAAUGGAAUGCAGCAGGGGACAGCAUGUCAAGCAGACUGCCUAGAACCCGACCACCUUGAAGGACCUCGAGUGGGGAGCAGGUGCAGUUCAUGCCACAGGCAGACAGCUACUGCAAAGACAAGAGAUCGGGGGCUGCCUUUCCCUUACAGCCUACUACAACUCCAAACUACGGAACAGUGAGUAAGAGACUGAAAAACCAGGAGAAAUAGAGCAGACAAGUGGGAGUCAACAGAUACAACUGAUUUGAUUUAAACAAUUCUUAAAAAUAAAAUGAAGCAAUCUUGAUUCUGCAA